UAGAUACCCUAUUAUUGAAAAUGUAAAUUUUUAUAUUUAUGGUAUUAUUAGUUAUGACCUUUAAAUUAAAAGAAUUUGACGGUGAUUUAAUCGUUUUAGAGGAACCUGUCCUAUAAUUGAUAAUCCACGAUAGAUUUUACCUUAAAUUAUGGUUUGUAUAUCUCUGUCUAUUGAAUGUUUUAUUAGAAUAUUUUCUUAUAUUUUUAUGAUAAAAUGAAUGUCAGGUCAAGGUGCAGCUUGUUAAGGGAUGAGAUGGGUUACAUUGGUUUAUAACUUUGAAUUUAAUCCCUGUAAAUAAAGGAUUAUGAAAUUGGAUUUAAUUGUAAUUUAUAUUAUA
rnacentral:rRNA from 1 species